rnacentral:rRNA from 1 species
UGGGGAAUAUUGCACAAUGGGCGCAAGCCUGAUGCAGCCAUGCCGCGUGUAUGAAGAAGGCCUUCGGGUUGUAAAGUACUUUCAGCGGGGAGGAAGGUGUUGAGGUUAAUAACCUCAGCAAUUGACGUUACCCGCAGAAGAAGCACCGGCUAACUCCGUGCCAGCAGCCGCGGUAAUACGGAGGGUGCAAGCGUUAAUCGGAAUUACUGGGCGUAAAGCGCACGCAGGCGGUCUGUCAAGUCGGAUGUGAAAUCCCCGGGCUCAACCUGGGAACUGCAUUCGAAACUGGCAGGCUAGAGUCUUGUAGAGGGGGGUAGAAUUCCAGGUGUAGCGGUGAAAUGCGUAGAGAUCUGGAGGAAUACCGGUGGCGAAGGCGGCCACCUGGACAAAGACUGACGCUCAGGUGCGAAAGCGUGGGGAGCAAACA